UUGGGCUCUACUAAACCCAUAAGCGCAAUGAAAGUGAAGGUUUCGCCUCGCGCGGACCGAGGGAAGACGGGGGUACAAAGCGCCGUGCUCGUUUCGCGGUUGCGCCCUCUGCAUUCCCGGGGCGUCUCGUCCUCAUUGCGAGGUGAGGCGCACCUAGAGCGCACACGUUGGGACCCGAAAGAUGGUGACCUAUGCCUGGCCAGGACGAAGUCAGGGGAAACCCUGAUGGAGGUCCGUAGCGAUUCUGACGUGCAAAUCGAUCGUCGGAGCUGGGUAUAGCGGCGAAAGACUCAUCGAACUAUCUAGUAGCUGGUUCCCUCCGAAGUUUCCCUCAGGAUAGCUGGUGCUCAAACGAGUCUCAUCCGGUAAAGCGAAUGAUUAGAGGCCUUGGGGCCGAAACGACCUCAACCUAUUCUCAAACUUUAAAUGGGUGAGAUCUCCGGCUUGCUUAAUUGAAGCCGCGAGAAUUCAUUUCGGAUCGGAGUGCCUAGUGGGCCACUUUUGGUAAGCAAAACUGGCGCUGUGGGAUGAACCAAACGCCGAGUUAAGGCGCCCGAAUCGACGCUCAUGGGAAACCAUGAAAGGCGUUGGUUGCUUAAGACAGCAGGUCGGUGGCCAUGGAAGUCGG
rnacentral:rRNA from 1 species